AAAACAUUUAUCAGAGUAAGCAUCAUAAACAACGGGAUAUCACAUAUAACAUGAACCAAAACAGUUAAAUAAUAAUUUAACCAAAAGUCGUAAACAUUGCAGCGGAAUUUAGUUCAUAAUCCAUAAAUCAGUUUGGCACGUAGGCCCCAUCAAAUAUCUCAAUGAGUUAAACCAACUAAACAAAACAUAGUAAUUGUUCAACAUCAUAAAACAUAAACAUGAUAGUCACGUAAGAGAAUGAAGCAUGCAUAAUCAUAAAGCCCCAUCCCGUUACGUAUCAGAGCGACCUAGACGACACAGUGAAGGCAAGGCCACUCACGACGGAAACAGCACACUAAGCACGAUCACCUGCACGUUACCCACGGUCGAGGUAACAUUCAAACAGAAGGGGUGAGAUUUCAUAACAGAAUAACGUUAAUCAAUGCAAUUAAGAAUCAUAAAAUUAACAUCUUAAUCAAUCUUGAUCAUAAUCAUUUUAAACAUAAUCAUCAUUGUAUCUUUAAUAAGCAUUUAUCACGUAAUCACAUAAUCAAUCAUCAUCAACAAAGCAUAAUAGACAUGACAAUGCGACAAUGCUCCUAGACUCCGUAUAUGCAUGUGGUACCAAUCGUCAUCAUAAGUAUAAAUAUACUUUAAUCGUGCGGAGGACAAAGCUCCUAAUAAUCGUGCGGAGGACAAAGCUCCUAAUAAAACGUGGUGAGGACUAAGCUCAAUGAUAUGCUAUGCAUGGACUCUUAACAACAAAACAUCGUAAUCCUCGUAAUCAUGUGCAUUCAAUAACUUGAAGCGAAACGUCAUCAUUUUCAUUAUAUUCAUAAAUAAACAUUGCAUACUCAGUUAAAUAACAGCAGCAGCAUAAUCAAGUCACAUAACAGCAAAGAGAUAUCAAUAUAUCAACAUCAAUUCUAUAGAAUCAUAAUCAUUUCAUUAUAUCUCACAUAUUGCAUAAUACAUUAAUCAUGCUCAAAUAAUAUCAUCAUAUCUUAAUAGCUUUACAAACUGCAUUAAACGUUAUCAUUGGGUUUCAUUACCAAUUAGGGGUUCACUCUUGAUCAAAAGGUGCGACACAGAUCGCACAACCACUCAACUGCUACAUUCUGGACUUGCUCGCGAGGCGAGAGUUCUCACUCGCCAUGGCGAGUACCACUCAAAUUCCCAACUAAUGUUGUUUUGGGUUCAAUCCUGUCCUAAAAUCAUUCCUAAUCAUCUCUAGGUAUGUUUAGGCACUUAAAGGCACUCAAGGUCCAACUAAAAAGUCGAAACUACAAAAUAUGACAUGCACUCUGCCUAAGCUCGCGAGGCGAGGAAGGGUUGCUCGCCAUGGCGGGUUGCACCAAACAACUCGCGAGGCGAAGGGAAAAGGCUCGCGUGGCGAGCGAUGAACUUCAUCACUCGCGAGGCGAGGAUCAUAGCUCGCUGUGGCGAGCGAUGAAUGUCGCUACGGCCAGGCUUCCUAAAAACACAAAAAUCCGUCGAUUCACAUGGUUCUAAGCUUAGUUUUGAUUCCAGAAUUCAUCCUAAACAUAUUCUAAGGUUAAAGGACGGUUCUUUCAUCAAUCUAAACAAGUUUUACCGUUUAUUCUCAAUUUUUAGGGUUUUGACCUAAUUCCAAAACUUCUCUAAAUCAAUCCUAACUUUGUUAACUAAUCAUCAGAAUUACAGAGAUUAAUGUUACUGUGUUAUUAGUCCCACCCUUACCUGGUUAUGAAGAAAUCGCAGCCCUCUUGGUCUCUUGCUCCUCUCUAAGCUUUUUCUCCCUUUUCCAAUGUUUUCACGUACAAAGUGUUUUUUCUAAACCUAGGUCUAUUCUUUUAUAUCUCUCCUUAAUAACUUAUCUUAUUUCACUUUCUCCCCCAAAACUAUCUAAAAUAUCAAAACAGCCCUCAACUAAAUAUUUUUUCAAAUCUUUAUUUUAUUUAACAAUAAAAUAAAUUCUCUAAUCUUAUCAAAUCCUCCAAAACUCAUAACUUAUCACGUCAUCAAUCAAAUCAUCAAAAUCAUCAAAACAUAUCAAAAUCAUGCACAUAUUAUAUAAUUAUAAUAUAAUUGCCUAAACUCGAUUAAAUAACGAUUAAACGAAAGUGGGCGUUACAC
rnacentral:lncRNA from 1 species